AACGAACGCUGGCGGCAGGCUUAACACAUGCAAGUCGAACGCCCCGCAAGGGGAGUGGCAGACGGGUGAGUAACGCGUGGGAAUCUACCGUACCCUACGGAAUAACGCAUGGAAACGUGUGCUAAUACCGUAUACGCCCUACGGGGGAACGAUUUAUCGGGGUAUGAUGAGCCCGCGUUGGAUUAGCUAGUUGGUGGGGUAAAGGCCUACCAAGGCGACGAUCCAUAGCUGGCCUGAGAGGAUGAGCAGCCACAUUGGGACUGAGACACGGCCCAAACUCCUACGGGAGGCAGCAGUGGGGAAUAUUGGACAAUGGGCGCAAGCCUGAUCCAGCCAUGCCGCGUGAGUGAUGAAGGUCUUAGGAUUGUAAAGCUCUUUCACCGGAGAAGAUAAUGACGGUAUCCGGAGAAGAAGCCCCGGCUAACUUCGUGCCAGCCGCCGCAGUAAGAC
rnacentral:rRNA from 1 species